rnacentral:sRNA from 1 species
AUCGGGUGUGGUGGUGUAUGCCUGUAAUCCCAGGGACUUGGGAGGCUGAGGCAGGAGGAUCACUAGUUCAAAGCCAACCUCAGCAACAGCAAGGCCCUAAGCAACUCAGUGAGACCCUAUCUCUA